rnacentral:rRNA from 1 species
AACCUUCCCUAUGGUACGGAAUAACUCAGAGAAAUUUGAGCUAAUACCGUAUAAGCCCUUCGGGGGAAAGAUUUAUCGCCAUAGGAUGGGCCCGCGUCGGAUUAGCUUGUUGGUGAGGUAAUGGCUCACCAAGGCAACGAUCCGUAGCUGGUCUUAGAGGAUGAUCAGCCACACUGGGACUGAGACACGGCCCAGACUCCUACGGGAGGCAGCAGUGGGGAAUAUUGGACAAUGGGCGGAAGCCUGAUCCAGCCAUGCCGCGUGAGUGACGAAGGCCUUAGGGUUGUAAAGCUUCUUUUGGCGGGGACGAUAAUGACGGUACCCGCAGAAUAAGCCCCGGCUAACUUCGUG